AUGGAAAAUAAAGCGAUGGAUUUAAGUCCUCCUAAAAAACGACAGAAGAAAUCUUACAUAAGUAAAGCUGAGAAAGAAAUAAUAUUGAACAUUUAUAAAACAGAAGUGCAUUCAAAACCAGAUGUUCCAAUCAUUGAUGUGGCUGACCAUGCGGCUUCUGCAGCGGGAGUUAGCACAGCUUCUGUUUUCAGAUUUAUCAAAGAAUAUAAAAAGGAUGGACGAUUUCGACAAAAAUGCUGUAAGAAGAAAAGUAACGAAAUUCCGACAAUAAACAAAGUUCUCAAAGCUGUGAACGAUGAUUCUGAUUUACCAAACUUUAAAAGAACGACAUUUUAUUCCCUGUUAAAAAAACUAGGCUUCUAUCAUCAAAAACGAGGACGGAACAGCUCACUCAUUGAAAAAGAAGAAAUAAUUUUGUGGAGGCGAAGAUAUUUAAGAACAAAUAACAAAAUGAGACAAGAAGGAAGAAAAAUUAUUACAUGGAUGAGACAUGGCUGAAUGCUGGACACACGCAAGACAAAGUGUGGAAUGAUACUUCCAUUAUCUCGUCAAAACAGGCAUUUUUAUCUGGUCUUUCUACAGCAUUAAAAUCGCCUUCUGGCAAAGGUGAGAGACUUAUUAUUACGCACAUAGGUAGCGACGCGGGCUUUUUAAAUCAAACAAAAACAAGGAUUACCAUAAGGAUAUGAAUGCAGCGUGUUUCGAAGAAUGGUUCGAGAAAAUUCUACCCUUUCUAGAGCCGAACUCUGUCGUUGUGAUGGACAAUGCACCAUAUCACUCUCGUAAAGAAGAAAAAAUUCCUAACACAUCAUCGACUAAGCAAGUAAUUAAAGAUUGGCUAAAAUCUAAAAACAUUGUUAGUGAUGAAGAAGGUAUGCUAAAAACAGAACUACUGGAUAUAGUGAAAGCUCAUAAGCACAGAUAUGACAAAUUCGCGGUGGAUGAACUUGCUAGACGUAAUACUAUAAUGAUUUUAAGGCUUCCCCCCUAUCACGCUGAAUUAAAUCCAAUUGAGCUGAUUUGGGCCCAAAUGAAAGGUUCAGUGGCCAAAGAAAACAAAACUUUCAAGUUAUCGGAAGUAGAGGGAUUCUGCAUGAAAAGUUUAAAUGAAAUUGGAGUUGAAAAGUGGAAAAAUUGCAUAGAGCAUACUCAGAAAAUCGUGGAUGUGGGAUUUGGACGAAGCCAUCGUAAACACCGUUAA